GGACACGCGUUGAUAGGAGAAGAAAACGCAUUGAGAGGAAAAGAAAUCUGGGUUUGUGUUUCUCGUUCUUGGGUCUCUCCGCCGCAGCCUGCUCCUCCCUCCGCCGCAGCCUGCUCCUCCCAAGGCUUCUCAUCCACGAACGUAUGUGGACAAGAGAGAGAUCCACGGCUCAUGUUGAUGCCAAGAUCCGCCAGCUGAGAGGGAGCGUUAUGAGUGGUAUGAGUGGUACGAGUGCGGCCUCAGCAUCAAGUGAGACGACAACGUCCACCACACAUCAUUCAUAGUUGAUCCAACUUGGUCAGGACCCAUGAAGCUGCUUCUUCAACAUGUCCGGUGGUUUCUACUCUCGUUGAAGGUGGUGCCACUUGCCUUGGCAAAACUGCUGUUGAUCAACUUGCCUUUAGGUUUGUCUCUCUCUUUCGAUUACCUAUAUAUCGAAUUUCAGAAAAAGACAUGUAGUUUGGGAUUCCAGUGUGGAGGAUGGUUUAUCUUUAGUUUCUGUUUUCUGCUUAUGUAAUGGGCAUGAUGAUCCUGAGGAAGGGGAAGCGUUUAGUGUAGUAUCUUUUGUUGUUGUUGUUGUUUUCUCUGUGUAUGAUUUAGGAAACAUGGCUACGCUUUUUAAGUUGGAAGAUCGUGUAGAAUUGUUUGAUGGUUCAUUAGUCUUUGAUUCUC